CCCUACGGGACGCAGCAGUGAGGAAUAUUGGUCAAUGGGCUUACGCCUGAACCAGCCAAGUCGCGUGAGGGAAGACUGCCCUAUGGAUUGUAAACCUCUUUUGUCAGGGAGCAACGCCGGCUACGUGUAGCCGGACUGAGAGUACCUGAAGAAAAAGCAUCGGCUAACUCCGUGCCAGCAGCCGCGGUAAUACGGAGGAUGCGAGCGUUAUCCGGAUUUAUUGGGUUUAAAGGGUGCGUAGGCGGAAUGCCAAGUCAGCGGUAAAAUCGCGGGGCUCAACCUCGCUCCGCCGUUGAAACUGGCGU
rnacentral:rRNA from 1 species